CAAAGUACUUUGAAGAGAGAGUUAAACAGGGCGUGAAACCGCUGGCUGGUAAACGAGUGGAGCCACGAAGUCGUUUCGUAGAAUAAAGAAUACAAAUUCAGUCAAGGUUUCGGCUUUGAUGCACUUUUGUUUAUUCUUCUAUGUAUGCGUACACUGCAACCAAUUAGACAAUUAAUUGUGGAAACAGUUGCCUAACAUAGGGAGAAAUCUCUAUGUUGAGUAAUGAAAUGUUUAUAUAUCUUCUGUAGGUAGCUUGGUGUGGUCCUCGUGGCCAUUCUGAGUGUAUGACAUGUUGAUAUGAGAGCUACAAUUAAAUACUGAUUGGCACAAUGAAAAUCCAUAACUGGUAUUAGAUAACACUGGCAGUAUUGUAUAUAUGUACAAGUAUUUAUUAUCAGCGUAAGCUUAGUAGUUUUAAAUUUAGGCUGGCAGGCUACUUUUGAUUUCGGUCAUUGGUGCCUGUUUAGUUUCCUAUCUAAUUGGCUAUUAACUUUGCUGGUGAUCUUGUAUUUGCUAUGAUAGCAUAUAUGCAAUAAUUGUUUAGUUAUUAUAUUGGCAGUGAGUAGGUCGGCUUUCCACACGACCCGUCUUGAAACACGGACCAAGGAGUCUAGUUAAGUAUCGAGUUGAUCGGUCUUGAUUAGGCCAGAAUGAGAGAUUCGUUUCUCGAUUGAAAGCAAAGUGAAAUCAAAUUAUGUGAUCCUAUCUCUAUUAACAUAGACUAGGCGCAACAUAUACCCAUUCGUAUAACUAUACGCGCAAGUGUUAGUUGGGUGGAGUAAAGAGAUACUUGACUGGUACC
rnacentral:rRNA from 1 species